rnacentral:misc_RNA from 1 species
ACACCUCAACUCUCAUGGUUUGCCAUGAUGAGCUUGGACUUUGGGGGUCUUGCUGGCCUGUCGUCAGCUCCUCUCAAACGAAUCAGCUUGCCAGUGUUUGGUGGCAUCGCGGGUGUGAUAACUAUCUACACUUGUGGUUCUCCACCAGAUAACCUUCAGCGAUGAAGGUUCACUGAAGCUCACAAAUGUCUCUCCUCGGCGAGGACAGCUUUCUGAAC